rnacentral:rRNA from 2 species
CGUAUCACUUAAAGCGAUUCAGCGGGUUACGAUUGACGGAGCGAAGCGACGUCAAAGCGUAUACAAAGUCGAGUCGGUUUAAGGAUACGUUCGUUGGGUAGGGGAGCGUUCUGUAAGCCUGCGAAGGUGGCCUGUGAGGGUUGCUGGAGGUAUCAGAAGUGCGAAUGCUGACAUAAGUAACGAUAAAGCGGGUGAAAAGCCCGCUCGCCGGAAGACCAAGGGUUCCUGUCCAACGUUAAUCGGGGCAGGGUGAGUCGACCCCUAAGGCGAGGCCGAAAGGCGUAGUCGAUGGGAAACGGGUUAAUAUUCCCGUACUUGGUGUUACUGCGAAGGGGGGACGGAGAAGGCUAUGUUGGCCGGGCGACGGUUGUCCCGGUUUAAGCGUGUAGGUGUGUGUUCCAGGUAAAUC